UUGACGAGAAUUUUCUUUGAAAUUAUUUGCCAUAUUUUUUAACUGGUGAUUGGAGUACCACAAAUUCAUUAAUAAUGAAACAAACGGAUGUUGUUAUCAUCAAUUUUCUUCCUAUUUAUAUGCAGCAAACUUCUUUCAAUAACGAUGCAUCGUACAUAUAUAGGCAGGGGCUAUGCAGCUUAGAAUAGUAAUUCGCUGGAAGGAUAAUAUCAUA